AGAUGUGAAAUCCUGAUUCCUUAAUGAGACUGUCGCUGUCUCUGGCAAAUCCACAUCUGCCCUGCUCAGCUCAGCCGGGGAAGACACAGAGCUCUCAAUAAUUUGCUCCUUGGUCCUUCUCCGCCCAUCCAGGGACCCAGGUCUGCCAGUGAAAUAAUGGAAACUUUCCGGGAGCAAGAAGCUAAAAGAUUUUUGUCAAGACAAAUGCUCGGCAUAAGGAAAAUGAAGGUAAAUUAACUAACACCAGAGACCACAGCUGCUAGGUCAAUGUAGGAUGAGCUGUAAGAAACAAGUGACAUCGUGAAGCCCUGGUACUGGACAAGAAGUUAAUGUUUAUAUUGAGAACAGCUGGACUAGAAAUUCUUUGAGGCCAGAGGCUGUGGUUUGCGUUUCCCCUGAAUCUCCUACAGCUUCCAACACAAUGCUGAACAUAGUGAGUAUCCAACACCUGUAACAACUAUUUUUACACUUGAUCUUAGGCAAAAGGCCAAGAAGAAAUACGUAACAACUAUUUUUGACGGAUAUGAACAGAAAUCUUCUGUUCUGUUAAGUAUAUUUUAAAAUACCAAAG
rnacentral:lncRNA from 1 species